AAGACUAUAGACCUGCGGAGUACCUGCGGAGGGAUCAUUACUGAGUUUCACAACUCUCUAACCCUGUGUGAACUGAAGUCUGGUUGCUCAGGCAGGCGGCCCCCGGGGGGAGCCGCAGCUUCUCUGAAGCGCCUGCCGGAGGAUACCUAAACUCGUUUUAACAUAUAAUCUUCUGAGUAAUAAAAAAAAAUGAAUCAAAACUUUUAACAACGGAUCUCU
rnacentral:misc_RNA from 1 species